rnacentral:rRNA from 1 species
GUCAAUAUUCCUGUACUUGGUGUUACUGCGAAGGGGGGACGGAGAAGGCUAUGUUGGCCGGGCGACGGUUGUCCCGGUUUAAGCGUGUAGGCUGGUUUUCCAGGCAAAUCCGGAAAACUAAGGCUGAGGCGUGAUGACGAGGCACUACGGUGCUGAAGCAACAAAUGCCCUGCUUCCAGGAAAAGCCUCUAAGCAUCAGGUAACAUCAAAUCGUACCCCAAACCGACACAGGUGGUCAGGUAGAGAAUACCAAGGCGCUUGAGAGAACUCGGGUGAAGGAACUAGGCAAAAUGGUGCCGUAACUUCGGGAGAAGGCACGCUGAUAUGUAGGUGAAGUCCCUCGCGGAUGGAGCUGAAAUCAGUCGAAGAUACCAGCUGGCUGCAACUGUUUAUUAAAAACACAGCACUGUGCAAACACGAAAGUGGACGUAUACGGUGUGACGCCUGCCCGGUGCCGGAAGGUUAAUUGAUGGGGUUAGCGCAAGCGAAGCUCUU